UUUUUUUUUUUUUUUUUUUUUUUUUCCUUUUCAGCUGCACCCACAGCAUAUGUCACAGCUAUGCCCGAAAGUGUGGCUCUAGAUCCCCUGCUCUUCGCCUCUCUAACUCCAUGGAAGGGGUGGUGGGCCUGCAGUAGGAGACAAAGACAGGGCUAUGUGAUGGAGAGCCUUCAAUACUAGGCUAAGAAAUUUGGACUCAUAUUUUGUUCAUAAUUGGGGAAUCCCUGAAAAUUUCUGAACAGGAAAUGACAUCCAUAAACUGUAUUAAGACCAGUAGGAGGAGGAAGAGGCUGAAGGCUGGGAGGCCCCCAAAAGAUCUACAGAGCUUCUGGCAAAGUAAGAGCAACUCCCCAAGGGUUCCCUUCCUCACCUAAACUUAGGCUUCACAGAUGACAGUUUGAGGCCAAAAAGAAGUCUUACAGCUGCUUUCUGGGGCCAAGGGAGAGGAGUCAGGAAACCCAAUUAGAUGUGAUCACCGACUGACACCUUCUAUGCCUCACUUUCUGUGGCUCUGUCUCUUGGUCUUCAAGAGAGGUAUCUACAUAGAUUAAGGAAAGAUUUAGAAUUACCUUCAUACUCUUUGACAGGAGGACUUUUCCUGGUAGAACAAGCAGAACUUGGGUUUUAUCCAUGAAGUCCACCAUAGAGAGAAAAGGAAGGAAAGUCUGGAACAUGGUGGGUCUUUGCCUUAUUUCUGUGGUGUAAAAAGAGUGUCACGUAAUAUCACGAUUGAUACACUUCCAGCUUACAGAGGGAUGAUUCUUUUGAUCAUAAUUUGUUACACAACUGAUAUUAUAAAAGAAUCUUAUGUAGCAGGCUAUUUUACGUUUCUCCUCAAUAACAGAGUGCCUGACCUCACAUCUGUACUGUGUGGCAGGAAGGGUUCAUUAUGACUGUCUUACAAUGAGGCCCAGAGAGAUCAAGUGACUUGCUCAUGAUGACACAGUGACCCAGGGAGGCAGCUCAAAUGAGAACAGAGGAUGCUCUAUAGUAAGAAUUUGGGGAAGCCCUUCUUCCAAUUGAAAGUCACUGACCCAUAGAAAUGACUAGUCAGGGCCACCCACUUAAAAAGUAAGUUAAUUUAGGGGGUUUAAAAAUACAGGAAAUAUUAAACCCAACUUCCAAAGUGAAAAAUAAUAAGGAUAAAACUAUUCCAUAAAUAUUAAAAUAAAAAUGUGCUCUGGGUUUGAUCACAUCCAAAGAUACAGACAAGCAAGGAACGACAAACACCGGAAGACAUGCAGACAAAGACUAAGAGAGGGCAGAGAAUACACACACACAGAGUCUCUCAAAGAAUCACAGUGUAUCUUCACUCCUGCACAAGCAGACCUAAUUUAUAAAAUACUGCUCUGCGGAAAUUAAUCUCUUAGAGCCCGGCUUGGCAUUGCUAGAUAAGGAAGUUAUAGAUGGAGGGAAGACCAGACUAAACCCUAGGUUCUGGACUGAGAAAUCAAUACGAACUCAAGAAGACGUGCGCGCGUGCACCCCCCCCCCCCCNCCAUCUGUUGAGAGGCCUAGGAGCAAAGACACACUAAUAGUAACGACCACACCUACUGAUCUUGAUUUCUUUCUUUUUUCUUCCUUCCUUCCUCCCUCCUCGCUCUCUUUCUUUUUGUCUUUUUAGGGCAGCACUGAAGCAUAUGGAAGCUCCCAGGCUAGGGGUCAAACUGGAGCUACAGCCACUGGCCUACUACCCACUGAGCGAGGCCAGGGAUCGAACCCACGUCCUCAUGGAUACUAGUCAGGUUCCUUACCGACUGAGCCAUAACGGGAACUCCUGAUCUUGGUUUCUGACCACCAUUCUCCACUAAAAACAACUAGGGCUCCUUGGAGAAAUGGCUGACUCCAAAGCUGGAGUAAAGCAAAUACAAGAAGAGUCUGGAAUAUCUCAUGCUUAAAGAAUGGAGUGGCUAGGGAGUUCCCGUCGUGGCUCAGUGGGUUAAUGCAUCCGACUAGGAACCAUGUGGUUGGUUUCGGGUUCAAUCCCUGCCCUUGCUCAGUGGGUAAAGGAUCCAGCAUUGCCAUAAGUUGUGGUGUACAUCGCAGAUGCGGCUCGAAUCCCGAGUUGCUGUGGCUCUAGCGGAGGCCGGCGGCUACAGCUCUGAUUAGACCCCAGACUUGGAACCUCCAUAUGCCGCAGGAGCGGCCCUAGAAAA
rnacentral:lncRNA from 1 species